CCUACGGGAGGCAGCAGUGAGGAAUAUUGGUCAAUGGGCGGAAGCCUGAACCGGCCAAGUAGCGUGCAGGAUGACGGCCCUACGGGUUGUAAACUGCUUUUAUACGGGAAUAACGCGCCGUACGUGGAGGGCUUUGCAUGUACCGUAUGAAUAAGGACCGGCUAAUUCCGUGCCAGCAGCCGCGGUAAUACGGAAGGUCCGGGCGUUAUCCGGAUUUAUUGGGUUGAAAGGGAGCGUAGGCCGCAUGUCAAGCGUGCUGUGAAAUGUCCGGGCUCACCCCGGGCCUUGCAGGGCGAACUGGCGUGCUUGAGUCCGCUGCCAGCAGGCGGACUUCGUCGUGUAGCGGUGAAAUGCUUAGAUAUGCCG
rnacentral:rRNA from 1 species